rnacentral:rRNA from 1 species
AGAGUUUGAUCAUGGCUCAGGAUGAACGCUAGCUACAGGCUUAACACAUGCAAGUCGAGGGGCAGCAUGGUCUUAGCUUGCUAAGACUGAUGGCGACCGGCGCACGGGUGAGUAACACGUAUCCAACCUGCCGUCUACUCUUGGACAGCCUUCUGAAAGGAAGAUUAAUACAAGAUGGCAUCAUGAGUCCGCAUGUUCACAUGAUUAAAGGUAUUCCGGUAGACGAUGGGGAUGCGUUCCAUUAGAUAGUAGGCGGGGUAACGGCCCACCUAGUCUUCGAUGGAUAGGGGUCCUGAGAGGAAGGUCCCCCANAUUGGAACUGAGACACGGUCCAAACUCCUACGGGAGGCA